rnacentral:misc_RNA from 1 species
GAUGAAAGAACGUAGCGAAAUGCGAAAAGUAGUGUGAAUUGCAGAAUUCCGUGAAUCAUCGAAUCUUUGAACGCACAUUGCGCCCCUCGGUAUUCCGUGGGGCAUGCCUGUUCGAGCGUCAUUUACACCCUCAAGCUCUGCUUGGUGUUGGGCGUCUGUCCCGCUUUAUGCGUGGACUCGCCCCAAAGUCAUUGGCAGCGGUCGUGCCAGCUUCUCGCGCAGCACAUUUGCGUUUCUUGAAGUUUGGUGGAUCAGCAUCCAGUAAGUUCUUUUAUGACUUGACCUCGGAUCAGGUAGGGAUACCCGCUGAACUUAAGCAUAUCAAUAAGCGGAGG